GCGGGGGUAGCUCAGUCGGUAGAGCAGAGGACUGAAAAUCCUCGUGUCGGCGGUUCGAUUCCGUCCUCCCGCA
rnacentral:tRNA from 2 species